UUGGUCUCUCCAAGUAUGCCAGGGCUUGUCAGCCUUUCACAAACGGAGUUCUUUGAUUCCCUCAAUGAGAGAAGGACAUCAAGGAAGUCUGGUUGCAAGAACAAGCUGCCUGUGCAAGAGACAGAACAAUACCGUUGACCUUGAGGAGCUGAGGACUUGUUUUCUCCAAGGACAUGAUGUACUGCUGGAGGGAAGUGUCUCACAUGACCUGAAGUGAGGAAGAAGUAGGAAAAAACACAUGCUACCCAGCUAUGAUUUGGCAGUUGCACUAAGUUAGGUGCACUGUUGUUGACAUUUGUCAGCUGAGGACCUGGACUCCUAUUCAAGGUCCAGCACAAAGCUGCUUCUUUGGGCUUCAGUAGCAUUGCACAGUUGGAUUUUCCUGGAUGCAAAACGGAUACUCACAGAGGAGGACGAACAGCUCAUGAACCCAAGCAACCAACCUACCCCUGUUUAUGCCUAAUACAUGUUUCAGCAGUACAAAUUUUGAUCCAGGGCAGGGCAGGGGGAAAUACAGGAGCUUCAGAUAUGUCCCUAGGCAGAUACCUCUGAUGAAAAUUCUAGAUGUUUCAUAACAAAGAAAAUCUAUUCAUGUGGGAGGAAUGGAUUUGCAUCUCAACAUCUAAUACUCCCAAGCAGCAUGUUCACAUUGGACAACACUGAAAGUCCACACAUUUAGCAAACUCCAAUGACCUGGGUGAAAACCCUAGCUAGUUAACCAUCAUCUAUAAACAGAAGCUUGCCUAAAAUGCCUUCAACAGCCAAAGGGACAAAUUCUCAGUUAGCAAUAGUUGGUCUACAUAAAACCUUGACAUUUUCUGGAUUUUAUUGAACUGUUCGUUUUUUUUGGUCUUUCUGCAUGGUGUUCUCUCAGUAAUUUAACUUCAUAGAAUCAUAGAAUGGUUUGGAUUGGAAGGGACCUUAAGAUCAUCUAGUUCCAA